rnacentral:rRNA from 1 species
GUCAAAUGAAUAAGGGCUUACGGUGGAUACCUAGGCACCCAGAGACGAUGAAGGGCGUAGUAACCGACGAAACGCUUCGGGGAGCUGGAAACAAGCUUUGAUCCGUAGAUUCCCGAAUAGGGCAACCUCCUGUACUCUUUAUUGAAUUCAUAGAUAAAAGAGAGGCAACCUAGUGAACUGAAACAUCUUAGUAGCUAGUGGAAAAGAAAGCAAAAGCGAUUCCCUGAGUAGCGGCGAGCGGAAAGGGAACAGCCUAAACCGGAGAUGUCAAAAUUUUUCGGGGUUGUGGGACUUAUAGAAUUGAAAGAGAAAUAAGGUGAAACAGAUGAAUCCUGUACCAUAGAUGGUGAUAGUCCAGUAACUUAAUAGAAUCUCUUAAAAUAAAUAAAAAAUUUAUAAAAUAAAUAAGAAUCCCGAGUAGCAUGGGGCACGUGAAAUCCCGUGUGAAUCUACGAGGACCACCUCGUAAGGCUAAAUACUCCUGGGUGACCGAUAGUGAAACAGUACCGUGAGGGAAAGGUGAAAAGAACCCCCAUCGGGGAGUGAAAAAGAACAUGAAACCGUAAGCUUACAAGCAGUGGGAGGGGUAAAGCCCUGACCGCGUGCCUGUUGAAGAAUGAGCCGGCGACUUAUAGGCACUGGCAGGUUAAAGCUUUUUUAGGCUGGAGCCAUAGCGAAAGCGAGUCUGAAUAGGGCGUAUGUCCGUGUCUAUGGACCCGAACCCGGGUGAUCUAACCAUGGCCAGGAUGAAGCUUGGGUAAAACGAAGUGGAAGACCGAACCGACCGAUGUUGAAAAAUCGGCGGAUGAGCUGUGGUUAGGGGUGAAAUACCAAUCGAACUCGGAGCUAGCUGGUUCUCCCCGAAAUGCGUUGAGGCGCAGCGGUUAGUUAUGAACUGUCUAGGGGUAAAGCACUGUUUCGGUGCGGGCUGGGAAACUGGUACCAAAUCGUAGCAAACUCAGAAUACUAGACAUGUCUUCAACUAACCAGUGAGACAGUGGGGGAUAAGCUUCAUUGUCAAGAGGGAAACAGCCCAGAUCACCAGUUAAGGCCCCUAAAUGACUGCUAAGUGGCAAAGGAGGUGAGAGUGCUUAGACAACCAGGAGGUUUGCCUAGAAGCAGCCACCCUUGAAAGAGUGCGUAAUAGCUCACUGGUCAAGCGCUCUUGCGCCUAAAAUGAACGGGACUAAGCAGUCUGCCGAAGCUGUGAAAUUAACUUAAAAACACUUUUAAAUAAAUUUAAAAUAAAUGGUUAAAAAAAAGUUAAAUGGUAGGGGAGCGUUCCGCUGUAGGUAGAAGCUCUAGCGUAAGCAAGAGUGGACGACGCGGAAGUGAGAAUGUCGGCUUGAGUAACGAAAACAUUGGUGAGAAUCCAAUGCCCCGAAAACCUAAGGUUUCCUCCGCAAGGCUCGUCCACGGAGGGUGAGUCAGGACCUAAGGCAAGGCCGAAAGGCGUAGUCGAUGGCAAACAGGUUAAUAUUCCUGUACUGAAUCUUUUGGAAGUCCCGAGGGACGGAGGAGGUUGAUCUUGGCCGGACACUGGUUCCCGGUUCAAGUAGUAAGGUGUUGAUAGGUAGAAUAAAAAAUAUCUUGAGCUGAGCUACGAAGAAGUUUGUCUAUGUACAAAACCGCAAGUAAAAUCAUACUCCCUAGAAAAGCUCGAACGACGUUUUAAGAAAGAUUUACCUGUACCCGAAACCGACACAGGUAGGUAGGUAGAGAAUACCAAGGGGCGCGAGAUAACUCUCUCUAAGGAACUCGGCAAAAUGGCCCCGUAACUUCGGGAGAAGGGGUACCUUGAUUGAUUUUUAAAUUGAUUUAAGGUCGCAGUGACCAGGCCCAAGCGACUGUUUACCAAAAACACAGGUCUCCGCUAAGUCGCAAGACAAUGUAUGGGGGCUGACGCCUGCCCAGUGCCGGAAGGUUAAGGAAGUUGGUUAGCUUCUAUUUGAAGCAAAGCUGGCGACCGAAGCCCCGGUGAACGGCGGCCGUAACUAUAACGGUCCUAAGGUAGCGAAAUUCCUUGUCGGGUAAGUUCCGACCCGCACGAAAGGCGUAACGAUUUGGGCACUGUCUCGGAGAGAGACUCGGUGAAAUAGAAUUGUCUGUGAAGAUGCGGACUACCUGCACCUGGACAGAAAGACCCUAUGAAGCUUUACUGUAGCCUGGAAUUGGUUUCGGGCUCUUCUUGCGCAGCUUAGGUGGAAGGCUGAGAACAUACCCUUCCGGGGGUUUGUGAGCCAUCAGUGAGAUACCACUCUGGAAGAGCUAGAAAUCUAAUGGCGAUCCUUGAAUCAGGACGCUUGACAGUUUCAGGCGGGCAGUUUUACUGGGGCGGUAGCCUCCCAAAAGGUAACGGAGGCGUGCAAAGGUUCCCUCAGGCUGGACGGAAAUCAGUCGUAGAGUAUAAAGGCAGAAGGGAGCUUGACUGCAAGACCUACAAGUCGAGCAGGGACGAAAGUCGGCCUUAGUGAUCCGACGGUGCCGUGUGGAAGGGCCGUCGCUCAACGGAUAAAAGUUACUCUAGGGAUAACAGGCUGAUCUCCCCCAAGAGUUCACAUCGACGGGGAGGUUUGGCACCUCGAUGUCGGCUCAUCGCAACCUGGGGCGGAAGUACGUCCCAAGGGUUGGGCUGUUCGCCCAUUAAAGCGGUACGUGAGCUGGGUUCAGAACGUCGUGAGACAGUUCGGUCCAUAUCCGGUGUAGGCGUUAGAGUAUUGAAAGGAUCUUUCCCUAGUACGAGAGGACCGGGAAGGACGCAUCUCUGGUGUACCAGUUCUCGUGCCAACGGGACACGCUGGGUAGCCAAGUGCGGAGCGGAUAACUGCUGAAAGCAUCUAAGUAGGAAGCCCACCUUAAGAUGAGUACUCUGUUAGUAUUUAUAUAAUAUAAAUACUGCUAAGGUCACGGCAAGACUAGCCGUUUAAUAGAUAUCAAGUGGAAGGUGAGUAAUCAUUGCAGCUGAGAUAUACUAACAGACCGAGAAGUUUGACU